rnacentral:tRNA from 1 species
GGGGUUGUGGCUCAGUGAUAGAGUGCUCACCUAGCAAGGAAGAGGCCCUGGGUUCGAUCCCCAGCAUCACAU